UGGGGACUGGCGCAAUUGGUAGCGCAGCGCACUCUGAAUGCGAAGGUUUCUUGGUUCGAGCCCAAGGUCCCCAGCCA
rnacentral:tRNA from 1 species